GACGAACGCUGGCGGCGUGCUUAACACAUGCAAGUCGAACGGAAAGGCCCUGCUUUUGUGGGGUGCUCGAGUGGCGAACGGGUGAGUAACACGUGAGUAACCUGCCCUUGACUUUGGGAUAACUUCAGGAAACUGGGGCUAAUACCGGAUAGGAGCUCCUGCUGCAUGGUGGGGGUUGGAACGUUUCGGCGGUUGGGGAUGGACUCGCGGCUUAUCAGCUUGUUGGUGGGGUAGUGGCUUACCAAGGCUUUGACGGGUAGCCGGCCUGAGAGGGUGACCGGCCACAUUGGGACUGAGAUACGGCCCAGACUCGUACGGGAGGCAGCGGGGGGGAAUAUUGCACAAUGGGCGGAAGCCUGAUGCAGCAACGCCGCGUGCGGGAUGACGGCCUUCGGGUUGUAAACCGCUUUCGCCUGUGACGAAGCGUGAGUGACGGUAAUGGGUAAAGAAGCACCGGCUAACUACGUG
rnacentral:rRNA from 1 species